UGUGUGUGUGUGUGGUCGAUGUGUGUGUGUGUGUGUGUGUGUGUGUGUGUGUGUGUGUGUAUGUCUUUUAAACAAAGGGAGCGGGUCUCCCUUUUCUAUCUCCGCUUUAUCUCUAGGAAUAUUGCUAAGAUCGUUUUUUUUACAGUGUUGCAGUUUAAAUCUGUGUAUUUCAUAUUUUUAUACAUUUUGAAUACACUAAGGUGAUGUGCAGCUUGCUUCGACACCGCAAUAACUUAUGCUUUUAAGGUUACACUACCUGCAUGUGAAGCAGUACCUGUCCAUUUCUUGCAUUUAUCCCAUGUGUGUGAACCCACAACCAUAAUAUCAAAUGCAAACCUGAGCAACAGUUCCAACCGGAUAGAUCCAUUAGAUAGUAUGAGUGCAGACUGCUACUGUAACAUUCCCGUACAACUUUAUUCCCAAUUUGUACCUUAUCUUCUUCUAACCUUUUAACCCUUUAACCCGUCUCGUCAGU